rnacentral:rRNA from 1 species
GACGAACGCUGGCGGCGUGCUUAACACAUGCAAGUCGAACGAAGCGACAGUGAGAGCUUGCUCUUAUGAAGCUUAGUGGCGAACGGGUGAGUAACGCGUAAUCAACCUGCCCUGCAAUGGGGACGAACAGUUGGAACGACUGCUAAUACCGCAUACGACCUAACUUCGGCAUCGAGGAUAGGUGAAGGUAGGCCUCUAUUCAUAAGCUAUCGUUGCAGGAGGGGAGUUGCGUCUGAUUAGCUAGUUGGAGGGGUAACGGCCCACCAAGGCAAUGAUCAGUAGCCGGUCUGAGAGGAUGAACGGCCACAUUGGGACUGAGACACGGCCCAA